rnacentral:rRNA from 1 species
GAAGUCAGACAACCGGGAUUGCCUUAGUAACGGCGAGUGAAGCGGCAAAAGCUCAAAUUUGAAAUCUGGUACCUUCGGUGCCCGAGUUGUAAUUUGGAGAGGGCAACUUUGGGGCCGUUCCUUGUCUAUGUUCCUUGGAACAGGACGUCAUAGAGGGUGAGAAUCCCGUGUGGCGAGGAGUGCGGUUCUUUGUAAAGUGCCUUCGAAGAGUCGAGUUGUUUGGGAAUGCAGCUCUAAGUGGGUGGUAAAUUCCAUCUAAAGCUAAAUAUUGGCGAGAGACCGAUAGCGAACAAGUACAGUGAUGGAAAGAUGAAAAGAACUUUGAAAAGAGAGUGAAAAAGUACGUGAAAUUGUUGAAAGGGAAGGGCAUUUGAUCAGACAUGGUGUUUUGUGCCCUCUGCUCCUUGUGGGUAGGGGAAUCUCGCAUUUCACUGGGCCAGCAUCAGUUUUGGUGGCAGGAUAAAUCCAUAGGAAUGUAGCUUGCCUCGGUAAGUAUUAUAGCCUGUGGGAAUACUGCCAGCUGGGACUGAGGACUGCGACGUAAGUCAAGGAUGCUGGCAUAAUGGUUAUAUGC